rnacentral:rRNA from 1 species
UACGUAGGGUGCGAGCGUUGCCCGGAUUUAUUGGGCGUAAAGGGCGCGUAGGCGGCUCGGCACGUCCGUUGUGAAAUCGCCCGGCUCAACUGGGCGGGGUCGGCGGAUACGGCCGAGCUGGAGCAAGCUAGGGGUCCGUGGAACUCCCGGUGGAGCGGUGAAAUGUGUUGAGAUCGGGAGGAACGCCGGUGGCGAAAGCGGGAUCCUGGGCCAGUACUGACGCUGAGGAGCGAAAGCGUGGGGAGCAAACAGG